rnacentral:rRNA from 1 species
AAUCAACGCUGGCGGCGUGCCUCAGACAUGCAAGUCGAACGCUGCUGUUCGCCUUCGGGUGGACAGCGGAGUGGCGCACGGGUGAGUAACACGUAGGUAAUCUACCUUUGGGUGGGGAUAACAGCCGGAAACGGCUGCUAAUACCGCAUAAUGCAGCGGCAUCACAUGAUGACAGUUGUUAAAGCGAGGGGAUCGUAAGACCUCGCGCCUGAAGAGGAGCCUGCGGCAGAUUAGGUAGUUGGUGAGGUAAUGGCUCACCAAGCCUGCGAUCUGUAACCCGCCUGAGAGGGCGGUCGGUCACACUGACACUGACAUACGGGUCAGACUCCUAC